rnacentral:pre_miRNA from 1 species
AGUAGAAUUGCUGGGUCACAUGGUAACUUGAUGUAUCACCCUUUGAAAAACUGCCAAAUUAUUUCCCCAAGUGGCUUUGCCAUCUUGCAGUCCCACCAGCAGU